rnacentral:rRNA from 1 species
UACGUAGGGUGCAAGCGUUGUCCGGAAUUAUUGGGCGUAAAGAGCUCGUAGGCGGUCUGUCGCGUCUGCUGUGAAAACUCGGGGCUUAACCCCGGGCCUGCAGUGGGUACGGGCAGACUAGAGUGCGGUAGGGGAGACUGGAAUUCCUGGUGUAGCGGUGAAAUGCGCAGAUAUCAGGAGGAACACCGGUGGCGAAGGCGGGUCUCUGGGCCGUAACUGACGCUGAGGAACGAAAGCGUGGGUAGCAAACAGG